rnacentral:rRNA from 1 species
CCCUUAGAUGUCCUGGGCCGCACGCGCGUUACACUGAUGCAUUCAACGAGCUUAUAACCUUGGCCGAGAGGCCUGGGCAAUCUUGUUAACGUGCAUCGUGAUAGGGAUAGAUUAUUGAAAUUAUUAAUCUUGAACGAGGAAUUCCUAGUAAACGCAGAUCAUCAAUCUGCAUUGAUUACGUCCCUGCCCUUUGUACACACCGCCCGUCGCUCCUACUGAUUGGGUGAUCCGGUGAGCUGUUCGGCCAUAGCAAUGUUUCUUGAGCAGGGCAAUGAAUGUUUCGCAAACCUUGCCACUUAGAGGAAGGAGAAGUCGUAACA